rnacentral:rRNA from 1 species
UACGGAGGGUGCGAGCGUUGUCCGGAAUCACUGGGCGUAAAGGGCGCGUAGGCGGCGGGAUCAGCGUGCGGUGAAAGCUCGGAGCUCAACUCCGAGUCGGCCGUGCGAACUGUCUCGCUUGAGCACAGUAGAGGCAGGUGGAAUUCCGGGUGUAGCGGUGGAAUGCGCAGAUAUCAGGAGGAACACCGGUGGCGAAGGCGCUCAUCUGGCCCAAUACUGACGCUGAGGCGCGAAAGCUAGGGGGAGCAAACGGG